GGUGUGAAUUGCAGAAUCCCGUGAACCAUCGAGUCUUUGAACGCAAGUUGCGCCCUAAGCCGUCAGGCCGAGGGCACGCCUGCAAAGAACGUCACGCA
rnacentral:rRNA from 1 species